rnacentral:rRNA from 1 species
UUCAUAGAGUGUAAAGGCAUAAGGGAGCUUGACUGCGAGACCUACAAGUCGAGCAGGGUCGAAAGACGGACUUAGUGAUCCGGUGGUUCCGCAUGGAAGGGCCAUCGCUCAACGGAUAAAAGCUACCCCGGGGAUAACAGGCUUAUCUCCCCCAAGAGUUCACAUCGACGGGGAGGUUUGGCACCUCGAUGUCGGCUCAUCGCAUCCUGGGGCUGUAGUCGGUCCCAAGGGUUGGGCUGUUCGCCCAUUAAAGCGGUACGCGAGCUGGGUUCAGAACGUCGUGAGACAGUUCGGUCCCUAUCCGUCGUGGGCGUAGGAAAUUUGAGAGGAGCUGUCCUUAGUACGAGAGGACCGGGAUGGACAUACCUCUGGUGUACCAGUUGUCGUGCCAACGGCAUAGCUGGGUAGCUAUGUGUGGACGGGAUAAGUGCUGAAAGCAUCUAAGCAUGAAGCCCCCCUCAAGAUGAGAUUUCCCAACUUCGGUUAUAAGAUCCCUCAAAGAUGAUGAGGU